GACGAACGCUGGCGGCGUGCUUAACACAUGCAAGUCGAACGAAGAGCGAUGGAAGCUUGCUUCUAUCAAUCUUAGUGGCGAACGGGCGAGUAACGCGUAAUCAACCUGCCCUUCAGAGGGGGACAACAGUUGGAAACGACUGCUAAUACCGCAUACGAUCUAAUCUCGGCAUCGAGGAUAGAUGAAAGGUGGCCUCUACAUGUAAGCUAUCACUGAAGGAGGGGAUUGCGUCUGAUUAGCUAGUUGGAGGGGUAACGGCCCACCAAGGCGAUGAUCAGUAGCCGGUCUGAGAGGAUGAACGGCCACAUUGGGACUGAGACACGGCCCAGACUCCUACGGGGAGCAGCAGUGGGGAAUCUUCCGCAAUGGACGAAAGUCUGACGGAGCAACGCCGCGUGAGUGAUGACGGCCUUCGGGUUGUAAAGCUCUGUUAAUCGGGACGAAAGGCCUUCUUGCGAAUAGUGAGAAGGAUUGACGGUACCGGAAUAGAAAGCCACGGCUAACUACGUG
rnacentral:rRNA from 1 species